rnacentral:lncRNA from 1 species
AUGAAACAUGGAUUAACCGUAACUGAUAAAAAUAGAACGUUUAGGUUAUCUUCAAACGAUAAUUACAAAAUAAUAGGAAAUAAAAAAUCCAUUCUUAAUAAUAAACAAUAUAUAAAAACAAAUUAUAAUGACAGUAAUAAGUUAGUACGAAAUGAUAACAUGUUACUAAGUACACUUCGAGUUGUUGAGCAUAUAAGUACAAUGGAUAUAGUAAAACUUUUGUUAGAUAUAGGAUUAAAUAUAAAUGUUAUAAAAAAAAUGAAUAAAAAUGAACAAAUAAAAAAGUUAAAAAAAUUUAUAAUAAAUGGUAAAGUAAAACAUGAAAAUAAAAUUAUAUAUAUUACAAUGAUUAAAAAAAUAAUCUUAGAGCAAUUUAAAAAUUUACACAAUCCAAUUUAUUUAAAAUAUAAUAAUAAUAUUUUAUAUUUGAAUGACAAAAGUAAACUAUUAGAAAAUUUGAAAAAAGGCGGUUCUACUACUGUUUCAAUCAACAAACAAAACAGUAUUAACAAUAAAAUAUAUAGUUUGACUCAUGAAACAAAUAUAGGAACAACAAUGAACCAUUUGCGAGAUAAAAAAAAAAAAGAAGUUGAAAAAAAUCGAGCAAAUUUUAUAAAAAACUUUUUUCAAGAGUCAUCCACAGAUGAGAACAUUUCCUCUUCCUCAUCUUUUUCCUCCUCCUCAUCUUCUUCAGAUGCUUCUGUUUGUUCUGUUUGUUUACGAUCAUCUCAGUCGUCACCAAACAAAAGUUUUACAAUAUGUGAAAAUGAAAAAUGUAAAAAUAGAAAUGAAAAAAACAAUUAUGAAAGGAAAAAUAAUCGUAAAUAUACUGGAAAAGGUAAGGAACGAGAAAAAGAACGAACAUUAUCAGAUGAAGUAGAUGAAGAAGCAGAAGAAAAAAAACAUCUUGAAAUUAUUCGAGAAAUACAAACAAAAGAUUGUAACGUGGGUGACCAUGAAGAUAAUUAUAGGUUAAUUCAUUGUUUAAAAUGGACUCGAAUAUAUAUUAGAAAAAAUGAUAAUACUGUUAAAAUUUUAGAUUUGGAACAGUUGGGAAGUAAUGACGAUAAUACGAAUGUGAAUGGAACUAGUAACAUGAACCUAAUGUAUGUAAAUAAUGAAAAAACAAAAUCGCCGUUUCAAUGUGACAACAGAAUUAAUAGUUAUAGCAGUAUUAGUAACAAAAAUAUUGACAAUACCAAAACAAGUGAAGAUUUAGACCAUGUGAGCGGAAUCAGAAACGGUAAUAAUAUAUUUUUUGAAAAACUGGAAAAAAAAAAAAUGCUUUCAAAAAAUUCUUUUAAAGAGAUUGAAAAAUAUAUUAUUGAUGAAAACAGUCAUAUUGAAAACAUUCAAACUUUGUACAUAUAUGGAGAAAAAAAUAUAAGUACUUUUUUAAAAUGGAAACAUUUUCGACAUAUGUUAAAAAAAUAUUUUACUCUUAUAAAAAAUAAGGAAACCGAAGAAGGGUAUAUUAAUCAAGAAGAGGAAAUGGGAACAAGAAAAACAGAAGAAGAAGCAGAAAUAGAAGAACUGUUAAAGGGAAAGUCAGUAGAUACUAGUUUAUAUAUAGAUAAUGAUAGAGAAGGAGUAAAUACUGGUAGUAACAAUAAUAAUAUAUUGUUCAGUCAUGGUAAAACAAAAAGAAAAAAUAUGAAACAAAAAAGAAGAUUAGGUGCUAAUGCAACACGUGUCAGAAAUAUACAUAAUUUAUUACCAACCAUAGGAUAUGAGAUAAAAAAUUGGGACAUAAAUAAAAAAUUGCCUGAAAAAAAUGAUUUGAAAAAUGAAAAAACGAAAUUAAAAAAUAAACAUGCGCUUAUGCAGGAAAAUGAAAAUAUGAAAAGGAAAAAUAAAAAAAGAAAAAUGUCGGAUAUGUUUAAUAUGGAGCAUAGCAAUAAUAAUACUACAAAUAUAGUGAAUAAAAAGUUUGCAAAUACAAAUUACUCCAUUAAUAUAAAAAAAAAAAAUAAAAAAUUGCAUAUGUUACCCUCAUCAAAACAUAAGAAUGAUAUAUAUGUAUCUAAUAGUAGUUAUUUAUCACAUGGAGCUAUUAAUAAAAAAGGAAGAAGCAGUAAAUUAAAAGAAAAAAAGAAGGGAAGCAGUAAUCAUUUUAAAAAAAAUGUUUCUAAUGAACAAAACGAUGAUGUGUCAAAAAAAAUAGAAGAUUCAGAAAGUGAUUAUAAUAGGGAAGAUAAUAAGGAGGAUGAUAAGGAGGAUGAUAAUGAGGAUGAUAAUGAAUAUGAAGAUGGUGCAUCAAGAACGGAUAAUAAAAACUUAAAUAAUCGAUUAAAAAAAAAAAAUAAAAAUAAAACUGAUAACUCGAAUACAGAGUUUAAAGAUAAUAAUGAAGAAAAUAUACGAAAAAACAAAAAAAAAAAUCAAAGAACAAUAGAAAAUGAAAAACAAGAAAAAAAAAAUAAAAAAAAAAGCAAUAAUGAAAGUGAAAAUAAAAUGAGCCUAAUGGAUAGAGGUAUGAAAAAAACUAGCAGCGUUAUUUCAGAAGGAAGUACUAGCAAUAUGAAUAUAUUACAUAACGAUAGUAACAAUACGGAUGAAAAUAAUCGUAGUAAAAAGUUAAAGAAAGGAAAUACCUAUAAUAACAUAAAAGAAAUCAUUGAAAAUUUUAAUGAAACGUUAUUAACAAUUAUGAAAGAAACUUCAGAGGUUUUAAAUUAUAAGGCGUUUUUAAAUAAGGUAUGUGAAACAUAUGCACCAAUGUAUUAUAGUAUUAUAAAAAAACCAAUGUAUAUAAAUAAAAUAAUUUUUAGAUGUAAAAAAAAAAAUACAAUAAUUUAA